rnacentral:rRNA from 1 species
GUAGGGUGCAAGCGUUAUCCGGAAUCAUUGGGCGUAAAGAGCUCGUAGGCGGUUCAGCAAGUCGGCUGUGAAAUCCCGAGGCUUAACCUCGGAACUGCAGUCGAUACUGCUGUGACUAGAGUCCGGUAGGGGAGAAUGGAAUUCCCGGUGUAGCGGUGAAAUGCGCAGAUAUCGGGAGGAACACCAGUAGCGAAGGCGGUUCUCUGGGCCGGUACUGACGCUGAGGAGCGAAAGCGUGGGUAGCAAACAGGAUUAGAUACCCUGGUAGUCCACGCCGUAAACGUUGGACACUAGGUGUGGCGUUCCGACCAACGGGUGCCCGUGCCGAAGCUAACGCAUUAAGUGUCCCGCCUGGGGAUACGGCCGCAAGGCUA